AACAGUUUCGGUUCACAUGAAAGUUAUAACUAAGCAAGAAGCAUGUUUACUUUAAUAUUCUUAAAAAUAUUUGCAUAACGGAUAAAAUAUGAAUAACACACAACAGCUUGAGAAAAAAAGUUUUCAAGAUUUCCUGAAAUACUUAUUGAUAAAAAAAAACUUCGAAAUUUGUUGAUUUUAAUAAUUUAAUAUUUUGGGAAAGUUUACCUGAACAAGUUGAAUUUCGUUCUAGUCGACGAGAAAUUACGUCAUAUUUGAAGAAUGUGUCAUGCAAUUCAUUGGCUUCAAAUAAAAAUUUUUCUUUUUUAAUUAAAUCGAAGAUAUCUUACAAAUAAGUUGUAAAAAAUUUAUCUUAUGAAAAUUACUUGAUGAAGUUUGA